UACGGAGGGUGCAAGCGUUAAUCGGAAUUACUGGGCGUAAAGGGUCUGUAGGUGGCCAACUAAGUCAGACGUGAAAUCCCUCAGCUUAACUGGGGAACUGCGUCUGAUACUGGAUGGCUUGAGUGUGGGAGAGGAAUGCGGAAUUCCAGGUGUAGCGGUGAAAUGCGUAGAUAUCUGGAGGAACACCGGUGGCGAAGGCGGCAUUCUGGACCAUAACUGACACUGAGAGACGAAAGCCAGGGGAGCAAACGGG
rnacentral:rRNA from 1 species